GGUUGUAAACUCCUUUCGAUGGGGAAGAUAAUGACGGUACCCAUAGAAGAAGCCCCGGCUAACUUCGUGCCAGCAGCCGCGGUAAUACGAGGGGGGCAAGCGUUGUUCGGAAUUAUUGGGCGUAAAGGGUGCGUAGGCGGUUUGACAAGUCUGAUGUGAAAUCUUCGGGCUCAACCCGAAGUCUGCAUGGGAAACUGUCGGGCUUGAGUAUGGGAGAGGUGAGUGGAAUUUCCGGUGUAGCGGUGAAAUGCGUAGAUAUCGGAAGGAACACCUGUGGCGAAAGCGGCUCACUGGACCAUUACUGACGCUGAUGCACGAAAGCUAGGGGAGCAAACAGGAUUAGAUACCCUGGUAGUCCUAGCCCUAAACGAUGAUUGUUUGAUGUGGGGGGUACCCAAUCCUCCCGUGUCGAAGCUAACGCGAUAAACAAUCCGCCUGGGGAGUACGGUCGCAAGGCUGAGGA
rnacentral:rRNA from 1 species